GCUUUCAUAGCUCAGCCGGCAGAGCAUUUGGCUGUUAACCAAAAGGUCCCUGGUUCAAACCCAGGUGGAAGCG